UGAAGUAUGGCUCAAAGUGGGCACAGUACCUGCCUAGCAAGCAGUAAGCUUUGAGUUCAAAUCCCAGUACUGAAA
rnacentral:tRNA from 1 species